GGGGAUGGAGCCAUAGCUCAGUGGUAGAGCAUCUGCUUUGUAUGCAGAAGGCCCCAGGUUCGAGCCCUGCCAGCAUCCCCA